UCUAUAAUGACUCUCGGCAACGGAUAUCUCGGCCCUUGCAUCGAUGAAGAACGUAGCGAAAUGCGAUACUUGGUGUGAAUUGCAGAAUCCCGUGAACCAUCGAGUCUUUGAACGCAAGUUGCGCCCGAAGCCAUUAGGCUAAGGGCACGCCUGCCUGGGUGUCACCAA
rnacentral:rRNA from 1 species